GACGAACGCUGGCGGCGUGCUUAACACAUGCAAGUCGAACGGAAAGGCCCUGCUUGUGUGGGGUGCUCGAGUGGCGAACGGGUGAGUAACACGUGAGUAACCUGCCCUUGACUUUGGGAUAACUUCAGGAAACUGGGGCUAAUACCGGAUAGGAGCUCCUGCUGCAUGGUGGGGGUUGGAAAGUUUCGGCGGUUGGGGAUGGACUCGCGGCUUAUCAGCUUGUUGGUGGGGUAGUGGCUUACCAAGGCUUUGACGGGUAGCCGGCCUGAGAGGGUGACCGGCCACAUUGGGACUGAGAUACGGCCCAGACUCCUACGGGAGGCAGCAGUGAGGAAUAUUGCACGAUGGGCGGAAGCCUGAUGCAGCAACGCCGCGUGCGGGAUGACGGCCAUCGGGUUGUAAACCGCUUUCGCCUGUGACGAAGCGUGAGUGACGGUAAUGGGUAAAGAAGCACCGGCUAACUACGUG
rnacentral:rRNA from 1 species